rnacentral:rRNA from 1 species
GAUGAACGCUGGCGGCGUGCUUAACACAUGCAAGUCGAACGGGAUCCAUCAGGCUUUGCUUGGUGGUGAGAGUGGCGAACGGGUGAGUAAUGCGUGACCGACCUGCCCCAUACACCGGAAUAGCUCCUGGAAACGGGUGGUAAUGCCGGAUGCUCCGACUCCUCGCAUGGGGUGUCGGGAAAGAUUUCAUCGGUAUGGGAUGGGGUCGCGUCCUAUCAGGUAGUCGGCGGGGUAACGGCCCACCGAGCCUACGACGGGUAGCCGGCCUGAGAGGGCGACCGGCCACAUUGGGACUGAGAUACGGCCCAGACUCCUACGGGAGGCAGCAGUGGGGAAUAUUGCACAAUGGGCGCAAGCCUGAUGCAGCGACGCCGCGUGCGGGAUGACGGCCUUCGGGUUGUAAACCGCUUUUGAUCGGGAGCAAGCCUUCGGGUGAGUGUACCUUUCGAAUAAGCACCGGCUAACUACGUGCCAGCAGCCGCGGUAAUACGUAGGGUGCAAGCGUUAUCCGGAAUUAUUGGGCGUAAAGGGCUCGUAGGCGGUUCGUCGCGUCCGGUGUGAAAGUCCAUCGCUUAACGGUGGAUCUGCGCCGGGUACGGGCGGGCUGGAGUGCGGUAGGGGAGACUGGAAUUCCCGGUGUAACGGUGGAAUGUGUAGAUAUCGGGAAGAACACCAAUGGCGAAGGCAGGUCUCUGGGCCGUUACUGACGCUGAGGAGCGAAAGCGUGGGGAGCGAACAGGAUUAGAUACCCUGGUAGUCCACGCCGUAAACGGUGGAUGCUGGAUGUGGGGCCCGUUCCACGGGUUCCGUGUCGGAGCUAACGCGUUAAGCAUCCCGCCUGGGGAGUACGGCCGCAAGGCUAAAACUCAAAGAAAUUGACGGGGGCCCGCACAAGCGGCGGAGCAUGCGGAUUAAUUCGAUGCAACGCGAAGAACCUUACCUGGGCUUGACAUGUUCCCGACAGCCGUAGAGAUAUGGCCUCCCUUCGGGGCGGGUUCACAGGUGGUGCAUGGUCGUCGUCAGCUCGUGUCGUGAGAUGUUGGGUUAAGUCCCGCAACGAGCGCAACCCUCGCCCUGUGUUGCCAGCACGUCAUGGUGGGAACUCACGGGGGACCGCCGGGGUCAACUCGGAGGAAGGUGGGGAUGACGUCAGAUCAUCAUGCCCCUUACGUCCAGGGCUUCACGCAUGCUACAAUGGCCGGUACAACGGGAUGCGACACGGCGACGUGGAGCGGAUCCCUGAAAACCGGUCUCAGUUCGGAUUGGAGUCUGCAACCCGACUCCAUGAAGGCGGAGUCGCUAGUAAUCGCGGAUCAGCAACGCCGCGGUGAAUGCGUUCCCGGGCCUUGUACACACCGCCCGUCAAGUCAUGAAAGUGGGUAGCACCCGAAGCCGGUGGCCUAACCCUUUGUGGAUGGAGCCGUCUAAGGUGAGACUCGUGAUUGGGACU